rnacentral:snRNA from 1 species
GUGCUCGCUUCAGCAGCACAUAUACUAAAAUUGGAAC